rnacentral:rRNA from 1 species
GCCGCGGUAUUUUGACCGUGCGAAGGUAGCAUAAUCAUUAGUCUUUUAAUUGAAGGCUUGUAUGAAGGGUUGGACGAGAAAUAAGCUGUCUUUAUUGGAAAAAUAGAAUUUAACUUUUAAGUGAGAGGGCUUAAAUGUUCUAAAGGGACGAUAAGACCCUAUAAAGUUUGACAUUUUAUUCAUUAAAAAAUAAAAUAAUUAAUUAAUUUUUAUUAGUGGAGUAGUGUUUUGUUGGGGCGAUUAGAAUAUAAAAAAUUUAACUGUUUUAUAUUAAUACAAAGUUGUUUGAGUGUCUUGAUCUUUAAUAAAGGUAUUAGAGUAAAUUACUUUAGGGAUAACAGCGUAAUUUUUUUUGAGAGUUCUUAUCGACAAAAAAGUUUGCGACCUCGAUGUUGAAUUAAAGAAUUCUUUAUAGCGCAGAAGUUAUAAAAGAAGGUCUGUUCGACCUUUAAAUCUUUACAU